rnacentral:rRNA from 1 species
GGCAUUAGCGCGGUGGUCCCACCUGACCCCAUGCCGAACUCAGAAGUGAAACGCCGUAGCGCCGAUGGUAGUGUGGGGUCUCCCCAUGCGAGAGUAGGGAACUGCCAGGC